AGUGUUUGAUCCUGGCUCAGGAUGAACGCUGGCGGCGUGCCUAACACAUGCAAGUCGAGCGAGAAGAUUAUGAUUGAUCCUUCGGGUGAGAGAUUGAUUGGAAAGCGGCGGACGGGUGAGUAACGCGUGAGUAACCUGCCCCAUACACAGGGAUAGCCAUUGGAAACGAUGAUUAAUACCUGAUAACACUAUUUUAUCACAUGUUAGAAUGGUCAAAGAUUUAUCGGUAUGGGAUGGACUCGCGUCUGAUUAGCUAGUUGGUAAGGUAACGGCUUACCAAGGCGACGAUCAGUAGCCGACCUGAGAGGGUGAUCGGCCACACUGGAACUGAGACACGGUCCAGACUCCUACGGGAGGCAGCAGUGGGGAAUAUUGCACAAUGGGCGCAAGCCUGAUGGAGCGACACCGCGUGCGGGAAGACGGCCUUCGGGUUGUAAACCGCUUUUCUGUGAGAAUACUUCGAAUGUACCACAGAAUAAGUCACGCUAAU
rnacentral:rRNA from 1 species